rnacentral:lncRNA from 1 species
CAGCCCACUGUUCAAAGAACUUCCCUCCCUGCAGUCAUACAAAUUCCAGCGCUGGCAGCCUCUGCACUUCACAGCCACGCAGGAUUUUGAACACUCAUGGCAGAACAGAACAGAAAAGACGGCAUGGAAUAUUACAUUCUGAGGAUUAAAGAAGGCAAAGUUGUGACCGUCAACACAGACCUGCGUCUGCGUGUUGCUGAGAGUCAAGCACCAACGCCUUCUGUGCUGAUAAAAUACCGCUAUGUGAAUGGAAGCAAACACAUAGCUUUCCGCUUCUUGUACGAAGAGAAACAACAUCUCAUCAAGGUGGAAAACAACUCCCUGAAGUUGGUGGAGGACAACACGUCUGUUCAAAGUGAUGAGCACUGGUUUGAGAUGAUGAACCUUGGAGGUGGGGAGCAUUACUGCCUGAAGUCUGUGGUCAACAGUCGGUACGUCUCCAUGUCAAAAGGGAGGGAGUCCUUUUUGGAGCUUUCUCCGACCGAGGAAUACAUUCAAGUCAGACAUGACCAACCAGAGACCAGAUCCUGAUCCUCUGCGUGUCUGCGUGUGUGUCAUUGUGUUUCCUGCAGACCGCACACCACUCUUCUUCGGCCAAAACUGGACCACGUGUAGCUUGUCCGUCUUGGGUUUUAAGUGCUGCUCUUGCAUUUAACUGCUGUUCUUCAUUGAGGUUGGGGUUUUGCAGGAGGGUUGCAGGGGUUAAAGACAUGCUUGUUAUGCGGCGCAUCAUGCACGUACCACAUUUUCAUACUGUUUACCACACUAAACACAUCUGAACAGAAGGACUCUUCUAUUCAUAUAUAUAUAUAUUGAGGGUGUUUGGAAAGCAAAGAAGCAAAGUAUGAGAAAGCUGUGAGCUAUCACUUUAUGUCUUUAUAAAAUUAGAACAUCAUUGUUAGGUGGUGAUCUGCCAAAAAACAGCAGCAGCUGCCGGCUGUUGCCUGACAUCGGUUAUGCAGGUUUUGACUCACAAGGAAAAGCUCUGGUCUUCGCCACAGGCGAUUCUCAGGUCAGAAGGACGAGAUACAACAUUUUAAAAUGGAUAAUAAAUGUCAUAAUAGUCAUGUAAAUAUGAGAAAA